AACAAGAAGAAAAAGCUUCUGCGACGGAUGAAGAUUGCAGAACUAAAACAGAUAUGCUCUAGGCCUGAUGUUGUUGAGGUGUGGGAUGCUACUGCAGCAGACCCGAAGUUGCUAGUGUUUUUGAAAUCAUACAGAAAUACUGUUCCUGUGCCAAGGCAUUGGUGUCAGAAAAGGAAAUUUUUGCAGGGAAAACGUGGUAUUGAGAAGCAACCUUUUCAGCUUCCUGAUUUCAUUGCUGCAACAGGAAUUGAGAAAAUCAG
rnacentral:misc_RNA from 1 species